rnacentral:rRNA from 1 species
CCUACGGGAGGCAGCAGUGGGGAAUAUUGGACAAUGGGCGAAAGCCUGAUCCAGCAAUGCCGCGUGAGUGAUGAAGGCCUUAGGGUUGUAAAGCUCUUUUACCAGGGAUGAUAAUGACAGUACCUGGAGAAUAAGCUCCGGCUAACUCCGUGCCAGCAGCCGCGGUAAUACGGAGGGAGCUAGCGUUGUUCGGAAUUACUGGGCGUAAAGCGUACGUAGGCGGUUAUUCAAGUCAGAGGUGAAAGCCCGGGGCUCAACCCCGGAACUGCCUUUGAAACUAGAUAGCUAGAAUCUUGGAGAGGUUAGUGGAAUUCCGAGUGUAGAGGUGAAAUUCGUAGAUAUUCGGAAGAACACCAGUGGCGAAGGCGACUAACUGGACAAGUAUUGACGCUGAGGUACGAAAGCGUGGGGAGCAAACAGGGUUAGAUACCCUGGUAGUCCACGCCGUAAACGAUGAUAACUAGUUGUUCGGGCACUUGGUGCCUGAGUGACGCAGCUAACGCAUUAAGUUAUCCGCCUGGGGAGUACGGUCGCAAGAUUAAAACUCAAAGGAAUUGACGG